UACGGAGGGUGCAAGCGUUAUCCGGAUUCACUGGGUUUAAAGCGUGCGCAGGCGGCCUUUCAAGACAGAUGUGAAAUCCCCGGGCUCAACCUGGGAACUGCAUUUGUGACUGCAUGGCUAGAGUACGGUAGAGGGGGAUGGAAUUCCGCGUGUAGCAGUGAAAUGCGUAGAUAUGCGGAGGAACACCGAUGGCGAAGGCAAGCCCCUGGACCUGUACUGACGCUCAUGCACGAAAGCGUGGGGAGCAAACAGG
rnacentral:rRNA from 1 species